rnacentral:rRNA from 1 species
CCUACGGGAGGCAGCAGUGGGGGAUAUUGCACAAUGGGGGGAACCCUGAUGCAGCGACGCCGCGUGGGUGAAGGAGUGCUUCGGCAUGUAAAGCCCUAUCGGCAGGGAAGAAGCAAGACGGUACCUGACUAAGAAGCCCCGGCUAACUACGUGCCAGCAGCCGCGGUAAUACGUAGGGGGCGAGCGUUAUCCGGAUUCACUGGGUGUAAAGGGAGCGUAGACGGCCAAGCAAGCCAGGGGUGAAAGCCCGGGGCCCAACCCCGGGACUGCCCUUGGAACUGCAUGGCUGGAGUGCGGGAGGGGCAGGCGGAAUUCCUGGUGUAGCGGUGAAAUGCGUAGAUAUCAGGAGGAACACCGGCGGCGAAGGCGGCCUGCUGGACCGCGACUGACGUUGAGGCUCGAAAGCGUGGGGAGCAAACAGGAUUAGAUACCCCGGUAGUC